UACGGAGGGUGCGAGCGUUGUCCGGAAUCACUGGGCGUAAAGGGCGCGUAGGUGGCGCGGGCAGUCAACGGUGAAAGUUCGGGGCUCAACCCUGAAUCGGCCGUCGAUACUCCCGUGCUUGAGCACUGUAGAGGCAGAUGGAAUUCCGGGUGUAGCGGUGGAAUGCGUAGAGAUCCGGAAGAACACCGAUGGCGAAGGCGGUCUGCUGGGCAGUUGCUGACACUGAGGCGCGACAGCGUGGGGAGCAAACAGG
rnacentral:rRNA from 1 species